GAUCCUGGCUCAGGAUGAACGCUGGCGGCGUGCUUAACACAUGCAAGUCGAGCGAAGCACUUAAGUUUGAUUCUUCAGAUGAAGACUUUUGUGACUGAGCGGGCGGACGGGUGAAGGUAACGCGUGGGUAACCUGCCUCAUACAGGGGGAUAACAGUUAGAAAUGACUGCUAAUACCGCAUAAGACCACGGUACCGCAUGGUACAGUGGUAAAAACUCCGGUGGUAUGAGAUGGACCCCGCGUU
rnacentral:rRNA from 1 species